rnacentral:rRNA from 1 species
UACAGAGGGUGCGAGCGUUAAUCGGAGUUACUGGGCGUAAAGGGCGCGUAGGCGGUAUGGUGAGUGUGAUGUGAAAGCCCCGGGCUUAACCUGGGAAGUGCAUCGCAAACUAUCAAACUAGAGUAGAUGAGAGGGUGGCGGAAUUUCCGGUGUAGCGGUGAAAUGCGUAGAGAUCGGAAGGAACGUCAAUGGCGAAGGCAGCCACCUGGCAUCAUACUGACGCUGAGGCGCGAAAGCGUGGGUAGCGAACAGG